UGCAAACAUAGUAGGGGGUCUAAGCGCAUGUUGAAGUAAGUGUCCAAGUGAGAAAGAUGGAGAAACCUUUGAGAAAUGGUACUCCUCAGGUGGCUGAACUCCUUUUAGUUCUAAAGUAAGAAGUUCAGGUUGUUCCCUACUUGAGUCUAGAUAUCUGAUCAUGCUGUUGUUUGUAUCAGCUAUGAAAAGUCUUCCUGCAAUUCAGGGAGCAGCAAUUAGACAAUUGCUUGUAAGUUGUAACUGGUUUAAUUGAAUGGAACAAGAAUUGAAAA